ACUGUAUAAGGGCUGAGUUGGGAAGCAUUGAGUAAACGCAGCUACUGGCUGUGAGGUGAGGGACAGAGAAAGCUUAUGAAAGGAGGCAGAGGUUGAGUAGAAAUCUGAAGGAAGGAAUUUAAAUGAAUAAAGUAGACCUGGAAAGGUGAGGAGAAAUUUCAAGAGAGAGAUUAACACUGUAAAUAAAGAUUCCAGAGUCAGUACACAAAGUCGUUUUAAUGGGGACUGUCUCGUGGCUCACCAGUGUUAAAGGCCAUUCAGAGUUCUGCUGGAAUCUUUCCACAGACUUUCCACAGAGAGUCGUCCAAUUGGUUAUCCUUAGCAUCUCUUUUUAAAAUAUCCCUUUCUUCAUUCCUUGAGGUUUAAAACCUGUCAUAUAUUGCAGGUGUAGCUAGACUAGGAGUUGGCAGACUUUUUCUAUCAAGAGCCAGAUAGUCUUUGUCACAACUACUCAGCUCUUCAGCUGUUGCAUAAAAGCAGCCAUGGCCAAUGUGUAAAUGAUGGAUGUGGCUGUGUUCUAAUAAAAUUGUGUUGUAAUAACAGACGGGUUUGGCCCACAGGUCUACCUUGGACACACUUGAACAAGACAUCUAAUGUUAACGUUAAGUCGCUUGCUCAGUCGUGACUCUUUGUGACCCCGUGGACUGUAGCCUACCAGGCUCCUCCAUCCAUGGGAUUCUCCAGGCAAGAAUACUGGAGUGGGUUGCCAUUUCCUUCUCCAGGGGAUCUUCCCAACCCAGGAUCGAACCCAGGUCUCCCACACUGCAGGCAGACGCUUUAACCUCUGAGCCACCAGGGAAGCCCAAACAAGACAUCUGAUGCCCCACAAAGAUGACUCCUCACAACCUGUGAACUUUUCGUUUUCUCCCUCCCUCUAUCCUUUUUCUCUUUUCUCCACAGUUGUAUUUUAUUCCCUAUGACACCAAUUCCUACUCUGUAAUGAUAGCCCUAGAACAAUGGGUAGAGAAAGAUCAGGAAUCCUGGGGAACUGUGGAUAGUUUCUAACCCGGGAGAGUCAGUCAAUCCAAGUGAUAUUUUAAGGAAAUUAAUCUGGCAGCACUGUGUAGGAUGGAUUGUCAUAAAUAUAACAUAGAGACCAACUAGGAGAUUAUUGCAAAGAUUGUAUACAGUAGAUGUGGAGCCGAAACUAGAACAUCAG
rnacentral:lncRNA from 1 species